rnacentral:lncRNA from 1 species
GAUUUGUUUCUUUUUUUUUCCUGCCUUCUGUCAUUGGUUAAUUAAGAGAAACAGUAGAAAAUCCAACAAAGAGAUCACCCUCAUAGAAUUGUAUUCCUCUUUCUUACAUUUUCAAUUAGCUAGGAAUGUGGACAUGAGGUCUUUUGGAAGGUAUAUCAAGUAUGAAUCUUAGAAUUCUUCAAACAGCAGACAGAUUUUGAUCUCUUAAUGUCCUAUUUUUGCACGCUUCAUUCCACUGGCAAUAAAAGGUGAGACGCUGUCACCUGCUCCAGGACUCUCUUCUCUGAAAUUUGAAUUUAGCAAGGGUUGUUCAUGCAAUUGCUGCCUCUUUAUAAAAUCCUCUUGCUCAUCCUGCACAAAAAGGAAAAGGUAGUAAUGGAUUAUUCUUAAUAUGCGUGAUUUUACAUGUUUCAGCUUGUGUAGUUCUGGUCAGCAAUUCGGCAGAUUACCAUUUGUGUCGUUACUGGGUAGUGAAUGGCUCUAAGAAACGAAAUUG